CUGCACGGCUCCAGAAACGCCUUGAGCAACUUUAAUGUUGUCGCUCUCGCUGUGAAGGAAGAGAUGGAAAAGUGGAGAGUUGGUUAGCAGGCUCAUCAGUCUGUGCCACAAGACGCUGUCUAGAUACCACUGAGAAUGAAAUGAGGAAGAUGUGACGAAAGCUGGGGGAGUAAAAAAAAAA